rnacentral:lncRNA from 1 species
GAGAUAUAUAUAUAUAUAUAGAGAUAUAUAUAGAGAUAGAGAGAUAUAUAUAUAUAGAGAUAUAUAUAUAUAGAGAUAUAGAGAUAUAUAUAUAUAUAGAGAUAUAGAGAUAUAUAUAGUUAUAGUUAUAUAUAGUUAUAGUUAUAUAUAUAUAUAUAUAUAUAUAUAUAUAUAGUGAUAUAUAUAUAUAUAGUGAUAUACACACACUUUAUUCACCCCCUUGAAAAUUAGAUGCUUGAGUAAUUAAUGAAGCACUAAUAUUGAAGUGAUAAAGCCUGAAGCCGAUGUUUGGAGGAUAUAUUGGCGCGGGCGUUAGGCCCGAGGCGAACACCAGCUCCCAGGCCAUUAUCACUUUUAUACGGGUUACCAACAUAUUCAAAUAAUGAUUUACAUAUUUUCAUUAACUUUAUUUUGAUGAAUUUAUUCAUACAGUUUUCAUCCUUCCACAAAAUAUAGUCCCGACACAAAUCUAGGGUUGCUACCCGAGCCGGCUGGUCGUUCGUUCUAUCGGUUCGGUUGCCAUAGUCGUUGUCCUUUUUGCUCUGUUGCCAUGGGCGCGACCCAGUCGUUGUCCUUUUUGCUCCGUUGCCAUGGUCGCGACCCAGUCGUUGUCCUUUUUGUUCCGUUGCCAUGGGCGCGACCCAGUCGUUGUCCUUUUUGCUCCGUUGCCAUGGGCGCGACCCAGUCGUUGUCCUUUUUGCUCCGUUGCCAUGGGCGCGACCCAGUCGUUGUCCGUUUUGCUCCGUUGCCAUGGGCGCGACCCAGUCGUUGUCCUUUUUGCUCCGUUGCCACGGGCGCGACCCAGUCGUUGUCCUUUUUGCUCCGUUGCCACGGGUGCGACCCAGUCGUUGUCCUUUUUGCUCCGUUGCCACGGGCGCGACCCAGUCGUUGUCCUUUUUGUUCCGUUCUUAUCCCUUGCUUGCUAGCUAGUCAACUUUGGCUAACACAGUCACGUUAAACAGUGUAGCCAGAAUAACAGCACAGUGGUCUAAGCUGUUUUCUAGUGAUUUGUUUUGGGACCAUAACAAUGAUUUCUCCUGCCGUAGAACGUUGGCUUUCUCUAGCUAACGACACAGCUAACACGGUCACUUCAAACUGAAGCUGGAAUCACGGCAAACUAGCUACAUGUACUGUUUUUCUAUUGACAUUUCUUUGUAUAGAUCCAUAAAAAUUUGGCCGAAUCAUGAUUUUGAUUUGAAAACAGCGGAGAUUAAUCUAAAAGCAAUGUGAAAUAAUGUGUAGAUGCUUUUUAUAGUGGAGAUCAAAUUUAUAAAUUGCCUGGCUGGGCUGAUGAGACAGUGGAUUGCACAAUCAGAUGGAACAGAGUAAAUAGGCAUUUUAACGUCAUUGAUUUAACCGGUUGUAACUUGUAGAAUAGACACUGGCUGGAAUGCGGUUUUAACCAAUCAGCAUCCAGGAUUAGACCCACCUAUAUAAAUCUUGAUUUUUAGAUAAGUAUUCAACCCUUUGAGUCAAUAAAUGUUAGAAUCACCUUUUUGUCAGCGACUACAGCUGUGUGUCUUCUUGGGUUGGUAUCUAAGGGGCCGAUUCAGACUGAGGAAAUGGACGCCUUUGCACUUCUCAGUUGGUAUUCGGACUUACCCAGCACGCAUUGCGCUCUACAGGUGUGGCUACCAUGCCCUCAAUGAAUAAAUAUCAUUCAACCACUUUCUGGCCAACUGAUUAUUUUGUUGUAGUGAAGUUUACAUUCAAUAGGGUUUUCAGUACAUUUAUCGACAUCCAUCCCUUUAAAUGCGCUGUACUUUUUUUUUUGUAUUAGAAUUUUGUCGUCAGACUAUAUCGUGAGACGGGUUGAGAAUAUUAUGAAAUUACCGUAAUUUCCAGACUACUGAGCGCACCUGAAUAUAAGCCGUACCCACUGAAUUAAAAAAUAUAUAUAUAUUUUGAACAUAAAUAAGCCGCACAUGUCUAUAAGCCGCAGGUGCCUACCGGUACAUUGAAACAAAUUAACUUUACAC